AUGCCUCUAAUUACUGCCCAGCUGCAUGUUUGGAACUCCAUCAAACAUAAGCAUCAGAGCCAUUAGCCUGAGAACCUGGACUAGCCUGGGGACAUGAGCCUAUGUUUGAGUUUUAGGUCAUUGGAAUGAACGGCAUGUGACAAUCAGCCUUUGAAACCUGAGGGAGGGUGCCUUCUGACUUGAAAAUGCCCUGUGGUGAUGAGCAGACUGCAGGCAAUCAGCAGGUAUAAUGCAUCAGAGCACAAAAUGGACGGCUUUACUGCAGCACAAGGAAGCAAAGUAGUUAUUUAGAAAAGUUGCACCAUACUGGUACAAGAAAAGCUAGGCCUUUUCCAGGGAUUACCUAGGGGAAGUGCCUGCUGUAUCAGAGAAAACUUUUAGAGAUCUCUGUAGGGGGCAGGGAGGAAGGUUUGCUGACUAACAAAUACUUAACACCCAGCCUUGCCUUAGGCAGAUAUGCAGCAGGUCAUCCCUCUGUACCUUCCCUUUCUGACCAUUUUCUUGACUUCCUUUCUGGCUUUCAUAUCCCACCUCACCACCAUCCGUGCUACAGAAGCAGCAUUGGGUGGCACAUGGGAUCUCUUUGAGACUCAGGAGUCACUUCAGCUUCCAGAUCAGAGGAAAAUGAAGACCAGCAAUCUCCCCCUGAAGAUGACACUCAUUGACAGAGACUACAAUCUAAUGGAGACCGUCAACCCUAUAGAAGAGUCCAGAGUCAAGAUUGGUACACAGAUGAGGAAGACCAACACUCCAAAAGAUAUCGAACUCAAUCAACUCAAGCAAAGCAGGAAUUAAGAAUAUGCAUAAGUAGAUUUUUCCAAUAGAUGGGUGGGGAUAGAGCAGUCACAAACCAACCAACUAGAUGUCAUGGAGAUUUAAGCUUGGUUCUUGUAAUAAAAAAUUGAAUAAGCAGAUGAAACA
rnacentral:lncRNA from 1 species